CGAAUGCUGACAUAAGUAACGAUAAAGCGGGUGAAAAGCCCGCUCGCCGGAAGACCAAGGGUUCCUGUCCAACGUUAAUCGGGGCAGGGUGAGUCGACCCCUAAGGCGAGGCCGAAAGGCGUAGUCGAUGGGAAACAGGUUAAUAUUCCUGUACUUGGUGUUACUGCGAAGGGGGGACGGAGAAGGCUAUGUUGGCCGGGCGACGGUUGUCCCGGUUUAAGCGUGUAGGCUGGUUUUCCAGGCAAAUCCGGAAAAUCAAGGCUGAGGCGUGAUGACGAGGCACUACGGUGCUGAAGCAACAAAUGCCCUGCUUCCAGGAAAAGCCUCUAAGCAUCAGGUAACAUCAAAUCGUACCCCAAACCGACACAGGUGGUCAGGUAGAGAAUACCAAGGCGCUUGAGAGAACUCGGGUGAAGGAACUAGGCAAAAUGGUGCCGUAACUUCGGGAGAAGGCACGCUGAUACGUAGGUGAAGC
rnacentral:rRNA from 1 species